AAAGGAAUUGACGGAGACUCGCACAAGCGGUGGAACAUGAGGUUCAAUUCGACAGUAAACGAAAAACCUUACCAGGGCUUGAAAUUCUGACGUUCUAUUUCGACGAAAGUCGAGAAAUCCGCAAGGAGGUCAGGACAGGUGCUGCAUGGUUGUCGUCAGCUCGUGCUUUGAAGUGUUCCCUUAAGUGGGGAAACGAGCGCAACCCUCGUCCCGAGUUUCAUGUAUCUCGGGAGACUGCCCGGUUUAACUGGGAGGAAGGGGGGGAUGACGUCAAAUCCGCACGGCCCUCUGAUGCCCUGGGCGACACUCAUGUUACAAUGGCCGGCACAAUGGGUUUGCCAAGCCGUAAGGCGGAGCUAAUCCCAUCAAAACCGGUCUCAGUUCGGAUUGAGGGCUGAAACCCGCCCUCAUGAAGCCGGAAUCGCUAGUAAUCGCGGAUCAGCGCGCCGCGGUGAAUACGUUCUCGAGUCUUGUACACACCGCCCGU
rnacentral:rRNA from 1 species